rnacentral:rRNA from 1 species
GACGAACGCUGGCGGCGUGCUUAACACAUGCAAGUCGAACGGAAAGGCCCUGCUUUUGUGGGGUGCUCGAGUGGCGAACGGGUGAGUAACACGUGAGUAACCUGCCCUCGACUUUGGGAUAACUUCAGGAAACUGGGGCUAAUACCGGAUAGGAGCUCCUGCUGCAUGGUGGGGGUUGGAAAGUUUCGGCGGUUGGGGAUGGACUCGCGGCUUAUCAGCUUGUUGGUGGGGUAGUGGCUUACCAAGGCUUUGACGGGUAGCCGGCCUGAGAGGGUGACCGGCCACAUUGGGACUGAGAUACGGCCCAGACUCCUACGGGAGGCAGCAGUGGGGAAUAUUGCACAAUGGGCGGAAGCCUGAUGCAGCAACGCCGCGUGCGGGAUGACGGCCUUCGGGUUGUAAACCGCUUUCGCCUGUGACGAAGCGUGAGUGACGGUAAUGGGUAAAGAAGCACGGGCUAACUACGUG